GGGAAACUGAGGAGGAACAAGGAAGCACAGCCCAGCUAAUACAGAGAGGAGCUGCUUCCCUUUCCGCAGAUCCAGUCCUGAAGGGCUAAAGGGAAGGAACAGUUUCUGGAACUAACAAGAGCCAUGACUCCAACAGUGGAGCUGAGAGGAACUGUGGCAUUGGCUGAAUCUGAAUAAAAGCUGGAAAGUAAGGGAGCUCACUGAUGCAGCCAUGGAGAUCAGCCCCACCUGAGACACGGAACGGGGUGGAAAAAAUCAUUCCUAAGUCUGAUUAGUGUGGGGUAUAUUUUCAUUUGAAAAUGAGAAUCAUGGAUGCUCAGGGGUUUGACUUGUGUGAGACUCAGUGGCAUCAUGGUUAAGAGAGCUGGCUUGGGAGUCAGUGUCUGGUUCAAAUCCCAGCUCUGUUCUUUCCUUUUCCUUCCUUUUCAUACCUUUUCCUCCUUCCUUCCUCCCUCCCUCCCUCUCUUUUUUUUCUUUCUUUCUUUCCCAGGAUGGAGUGUAGUGGCGCAAUCUCAGCUCACCACAACCUCUGCCUCUUGGCUUCAAGCGAUUCUUCCAUCUCAGCCUCCCGAGUAGCUGGGAUUAGAGGCAUGCGCUACCACCCCCAGCUAAUUUUUGUAUUUUUAGUAGAGAUGGGGUUUCACCAUGUUGGCCAGGCUGGUCUCAAACUCCUGACCUCAAGUGAUCCACACACCUCAGCCUCCCAAAGUGCUGGGAUUACAGGCAUGGGCCACUGUGACUGGCCUUCAACUUUGUCAUUUCUUACAUGUCUUAGGUCGGGUGCCUCUGGAAG
rnacentral:lncRNA from 1 species